GGGCAGCGUUUUAGUUUGCUUGCAAACUAAAGAUGGCGACCGGCGCACGGGUGAGUAACACGUAUCCAACCUGCCGAUAACUCGGGGAUAGCCUUUCGAAAGAAAGAUUAAUAUCCGAUAGUAUAUUAAAACCGCAUGGUUUUACUAUUAAAGAAUUUCGGUUAUCGAUGGGGAUGCGUUCCAUUAGUUUGUUGGCGGGGUAACGGCCCACCAAGACUACGAUGGAUAGGGGUUCUGAGAGGAAGGUCCCCCACAUUGGAACUGAGACACGGUCCAAACUCCUACGGGAGGCAGCAGUGAGGAAUAUUGGUCAAUGGACGAGAGUCUGAACCAGCCAAGUAGCGUGAAGGAUGACUGCCCUAUGGGUUGUAAACUUCUUUUAUAUGGGAAUAAAGUAUUCCACGUGUGGAAUUUUGUAUGUACCAUAUGAAUAAGGAUCGGCUAACUCCGUGCCAGCAGCCGCGGUAAUACGGAGGAUCCGAGCGUUAUCCGGAUUUAUUGGGUUUAAAGGGAGCGUAGGUGGAUUGUUAAGUCAGCUGUGAAAGUUUGCGGCUCAACCGUAAAAUUGCAGUUGAAACUGGCAGUCUUGAGUACAGUAGAGGUGGGCGGAAUUCGUGGUGUAGCGGUGAAAUGCUUAGAUAUCACGAAGAACUCCGAUUGCGAAGGCAGCUCACUAGACUGCAACUGACACUGAUGCUCGAAAGUGUGGGUAUCA
rnacentral:rRNA from 1 species